rnacentral:rRNA from 1 species
AGCGAACGCUGGCGGCAGGCCUAACACAUGCAAGUCGAGCGCCGUAGCAAUACGGAGCGGCAGACGGGAGAGUAACACGUGGGAACGUACCCUUCAGUACGGAACAACCAAGGGAAACUUUGGCUAAUACCGUAUACGUCCGUAAGGAGAAAGAUUUAUCGCUGAAGGAUCGGCCCGCGUCUGAUUAGCUAGUUGGUGAGGUAACGGCUCACCAAGGCGACGAUCAGUAGCUGGUCUGAGAGGAUGAUCAGCCCCACUGGGACUGAGACACGGCCCAGACUCCUACGGGGGGCAGCAGUGGGGAAUAUUGGACAAUGGGCGCAAGCCUGAUCCAGCCAUGCCGCGUGGGUGAUGAAGGCCCUAGGGUUGUAAAGCCCUUUCGGCGGGGAAGAUAAUGACGGUACCCGCAGAAGAAGCCCCGGCUAACUUCGUGCCAGCCGCCGCAGUAAUAC